rnacentral:tRNA from 1 species
GGGGAGGCGCCGAAGUAGGAGAGCCGGGGCAGACUGUAAAUCUGUUGGCGUACGCCUUAGAGGGUUCGAUUCCCCCCCUCCCCA